rnacentral:rRNA from 1 species
UGGGGAAUUUUGGACAAUGGGGGAAACCCUGAUCCAGCCAUCCCGCGUGUGCGAUGAAGGCCUUCGGGUUGUAAAGCACUUUUGGCAGGAAAGAAACGUCAUGGGUUAAUACCCCGUGAAACUGACGGUACCUGCAGAAUAAGCACCGGCUAACUACGUGCCAGUAGCCGCGGUAAUACGUAGGGUGCAAGCGUUAAUCGGAAUUACUGGGCGUAAAGCGUGCGCAGGCGGUUCGGAAAGAAAGAUGUGAAAUCCCAGAGCUCAACUUUGGAACUGCAUUUUUAACUACCGGGCUAGAGUGUGUCAGAGGGAGGUGGAAUUCCGCGUGUGGCAGUGAAAUGCGUAGAUAUGCGGAGGAACACCGAUGGCGAAGGCAGCCUCCUGGGAUAACACUGACGCUCAUGCACGAAAGCGUGGGGAGCAAACAGG